GACAGAGGUGCCGAGCGUUAGGCGGAAUCACUGGGCUUAAAGCGUGUGUAGGCGGGCCGUUAAGUGUCUUGUGAAAUCCCCCGGCUCAACCGGGGAAUUGCUGGGCAUACUGGCGGUCUUGAGCAAUCUAGGGGCAGAUGGAACAAGUGGUGGAGCGGUGAAAUGCGUAGAGAUCGGGAGGAACACCAGUGGCGAAGGCGGCUCUCUGGACCGGUUCUGACGCUCAGGCGCGAAAGCGUGGGGAGCGAUCCGG
rnacentral:rRNA from 1 species